UCGCGGGGCACGCACGGUGAGUAUUAGCGUUCUAGCAUAACAAAAUAGAAACUGGCGUGAAACUGAACGUUUAUGUCGAGUUUUUGUUUUUCAGUUGCUUGGAAUGAAACGCACAAAGCGCGCAUCUUCGUGGAAAACACGGAUAAGAAGACGUGCGACACCACGAACAUGUCGAACGUUAUGGAAAAAGCCGGGAGGAAAGCAAAAGGCUCGGCCGCUAUAUUUUACACGAGGAGCCCCAUCGAGAUGUGGAGCAAGAUAUGGAACGGAACAGAGGGGGACCCCAAAAAAAACGCCAAAACGCACAUAAACGUUGGCAGUGCCUUUCCGAAAUGAAGAGAACUUGAGGAUUUUCUCGGACUGUAACCGGAUUCGGAGCUGGCAACUCUCCUUCGGGCAGAAAAGUGCUGAAGCUGGGAGCAACCAAGGCAGAAGAAAGGUCCUUGUGACUGCCAUUUAUCACCCUCCUCUACAUUGAAAAAGCACACAUUGACUGAGGAAUUGGCUGCUUCAGAAGACACCGGCGAUGACAGUCAUCCUCACAUUCUGGUGGAAGCGGUAAAUUGGAGCACACAAGUCUCGGCGGACUGCUGCUGGAGAGCGCGCUCAUGAAUGUGCUGCUGGUAAGUUGAAAACUCUUCCCCUCAAGGCAUCACUGCCUUCAUUCUUGUAAUCUUGCUUGUCUUGCGGUCCAGCGGUGGGAAGAAGUAAAUCAAAAAUGGGCUUACACCAUCGGAGGAUUGAGGAUUGUCUGGGGGCCGUACAGUUAAAAUGCUUGCAGCACAAUAAGCUUUUUAUUGGGUUUUCUGAUUGCCCGCUAGCGCCGGGUAACGUCUGACACUCCAGUGUAGGUGGGGAAAUCUGCCAAGGCAGAAGCAAUUUGAUGGCUGCAUGGUGAUGAGCACAAUGUCUCGCGCA